CAAAGUUUUGGUCCUAAACUUGCCGUUGUUUUUAAUCAAAAUUAUACAUGCAAGCCUCCACACACCAGUGAGAAUGCCCAUAUCCCCUUAACAGAAAACUGGAGCAGGCAUCAGGAUUCAACACUUAGCCCAAGACGCCUUGCUACGCCACACCCCCACGGGCUCUCAGCAGUAAUUAACAUUAAAACAUGAGCGACUUCUACUUAAGCUCGACUUAGUUAUGGUUUACUUGGUCGGUAAAUUCCGUGCCAGCCACCGCGGUUAUACGAAAGACCAAAAACAACAGCCCCCGGCGUAAAGCGUGACUAAGAGCCCUUCCCAUUAGAGGGUAAAGGUUGCAAAGUCGUAAAACACCCAUGCACACCAGAACCUCGACCUGUGCCUCUAAAGAAAUCUGACCUCACGAAAGUUAAGAAACAAACUGGGAUUAGAUACCCCACUAUGCUUAACCCUAAACACAGAUAAUACCCACACAAUAUUAUCCGCCAGAGGACUACAAGCGAAAAGCUAAAAACUCCAAGGACUUGGCGGUGCUUCAAACCAACCUAGAGGAGCCUGUCCUAUAAUCGAUAUUCCACGUUAUACCUUACCCCCCCUGGCCAACCAGCCUAUAUACCGCCGUCGCAAGCCUACCUUGUGAAAGAAACAAAGUAGGCAAAACAGUCAACAACGAAUACGUCAGGUCAAGGUGUAGCACACGGGGCGGCAGAGAUGGGCUACAUUUUCUAAAACAAUACACGAAUAGCAUAUUGAAAUUCUAUGCUUGAAGGCGGAUUUAGUAGUAAGAUAAAUAAUAAAAACUUAUCUUAAACCUGCUCUGAAGCACGCACACACCGCCCGUCACCCUCAUCACUGUUAUAAAAACAAAACAUAACACGCAAAACACACCAAGAUGAGGCAAGUCGUAACAAGGUAAGUGCACUGGAAAGUGCACUUGGAAU
rnacentral:ncRNA from 1 species